CGGGUCAAGAAGCGCGUGGAACGGAUUAAAAGGGAAGAUUCAUGAGGGAACGCAUUGAAUCCCCCUUUCCGCCUCCGGACGUCCCCCGCGCUUAGGUUGAAGAGGCGGCAGUAGCCCGAUCUCUUCUCGAUUUCAUAAGAAACGUCAAGAUGAGCAUCCUAAAGCAAGCUUGUAAAUAUUAACAACAGGGUUAACAGAUUGCCCACACGCCUCGACCCCUCUACCAACCACACAUGAUCUGCUCUCAGAAAAAGAUCUUUGACCCGAGGUACGCUCUACUGAAGCUGCUAUCGUCUCUAGUCUUUUUAAUCCUCGGUAACAUCUUUUUCUGACUUAGACAUAAGGGAAUCAACAGUUUCUGAGUUUCAUCCUUGGUCUAGAAAGCUAGCAUUGUCCAACAUGGGAACUCUCUGGACCUUUUAAAAGUAACAUUAGAUUCUUCCUUUAAUUUUCUCAUCGUAGAAUAAUAAUUAUCCAUUAGUAUUCAAGAAACAUCUACUCAGCUUGAACCACAACCUCUUAAUCAGGAACUAAAAAUCACUGUGAUGCUGAAGAUAUAAUUCUCUUAGUGACGAAAGAUUGGCUUUAUUUUCUGAUUUCUGUUAGGUUGACUGACAUUUGCAUCUCAUUGUCAUCAUCAUCCAAUCAUGUUAGUGUCAACUAAUUGUGUAUAGUGCUGAAAUUUUGUCCCUCCAUUGAAUUAAGUUAUAUGCCUAGCAAUCUUCAGAUCUUUAAAAUUGUUUUUUACACAUAUAUGUGGUUGUAAGGAAACAAUUGUACCAAAAAAAAAAACAUAAUGGAGAUAAGAAUUGUUAAGACAGAUAUGUUGCAUUACCUAAUAGGAUAGAAUGAAAGAUAUUAUUUGGAACAAUUACGUGUAGCUUUAACAAGAGAAAGAAAGAAAGAUUUAGAUGGUAUGCAUAUGUUCAAAGGUGACGACUUGCAAGGAGUUAGCGGUAUGCAUAUAUUUAAAGGUGACGAAUUACAAGGAGAGGAAGAGGGGAUGCAACAAACUGCACUUGCCAACAUGGGAAUUUCUCGAUUCAUCUUUUGAUUUUAUCUGUUAAUGCACUAAAAAUUGAGUGAAAGAGAAGAGGGGAUGUAUUAAUUGGAGCAAUCAAAGUAUGAAAGAGAAGUAAUGCAUUAACUGGAGCAAUCAAAAUAGGCAAAGGAGUGACAUGAUAAUUGGAGAUAUUGAGAUAAUUGUAUAUUGUAUGGCUGAACUUAUUCCAUCUUUACGUAUGUCAGUUCAAAUCCAACUUGUUGUGGUGGAAGCUCUAUCAGAAGGUGUGAUUGGAAUUGGAGAGCAAAACUAUUCAAGAUCUUUAAGAGUGAUCACACUGUAGUAGAUUGCAAAACCGGAGAUAGUACAUUUUUGAUGCUAGAGAAAUGUCAAAACUUAGGUUGGUUUACUUGGGUGGGAAGUUAAGAGGAGUCGACAGGAAAAGAUUUACAAAGCUACACAUGGAGAUAAUAUGAUUGUGGAAUUAAAAGAAAAGAGAUAAGGGUGGUGGGAAAACAAAUAAUCCACAAAAUAUUGCAUUUAUGUAGUGGGUUCAUGGGGUGAGCAUUGUUUGUUGAGGAAGACAAAUGAGUGAAGGGUGCAAUUGACGAGGACCAUAUCAAAUUCUUUCUUGUCUUCCAAAGUAAACAAUACAAUAAAGAUUCUUUCUUUAUUCCCUUUUCUUCUCUCUCCUAUGAUUGUCUAAUCCAUAUUCUCCUCCUAAAUAAACUGGCAUGGUUCUACAUAAAAAAAAAAAUAAACCGUAGAUCUACUAUCUUAACGGUCCCUAGUAUCGGCUUCAUAGAUAUAGAAGGAGGUAAAUAUAGGUACACAUGUGUUAGGCGCAUGGUGGGGUGACCACAGGUCGCUAGUUCUUAGAAAUCAACCCCUGGACAUUACACCAAAGAUAUCAUGCGUCUACCAUAUGUGCUACGGCCUAGUUCUACAUUAAAAAAAUAUAGAUCCGCUACAUUAUUGACCCCUUAGUGUCAAUCUCACGGAUAUGGAAGGAGAUAAAUGUAAAUACAUAAGUGUUAGGCGCAUGGUGGGGUUCCUGAGAAUCGACCCUAGCCAUUACGUCAGAGAUGUUAUGCGCCUACCGUUUGCGCUACACCUUGGGGGUGCCUAGUUGUACAUUAUUUUAAAAAAAAAAAAAAAAUAGAUCCGCUACCUUAGCGGCCCCAUGGAUAUGAAGGGAGGUAAAUACAGGUACACAGACCAUAGACACAUGUUGGGGUAAAUCUCGGAUCGUCAAUUCCUGAGAAUCGACCCCUGGCCAUCACGCCAGAGAUAUCAUUCGUCCACCAUCUACGCUAUGUCCCGGGGCAACAUAGUUGUACAUUAAAUAUAGAUCCGCUAUUUAACAGCCCUCCUAGUGCCGGCCCCACAAAUAUGGCAGGCGGAUGGUGGAGUAAACCUCAGGUCAUCAAUUCCUGAGAAUCGACCCCUGACCAUUGCGCCGAGAUGUCAUACGUCCACUGUCUGUGUUACGCCCUGGGGGUACCUAGUAGUCCAUGUAAGAUUUCACGGUAGGAGGAACAACACUGGAAUGACAACUUGAGUAGUUUGCACCAAACUAAAUCUGGGGGCAUAUAUGAGAAAGGGAUGCAGAAGCUAGGCAUAUGCAUGACACCCAGUACAUUUCUUGUGUGACGGGAAUGUCUAGGGAUUCAUUUCAGCUGUGUUAUAUGUGACAAGUGCUUUAAGAUAACUGAGAGUUUUUGUUACUAUCAUGCACUUGCAUGCUCAGGAUUUAGGAUUAUUAAGCAAGUUGCCCAGUUGUUUCCAUUUUUUUCUUUUCCCUUGGAACUGGCAUCUUUUCUGUGUUCAAGAUUAUGGAGAACCUUUUCUUUUGUUCAUUAUUUGAACUGUAGAAAUUCUUAUAGCAGAUCUCAAAAUUAUGCUCGAGGUUGCAGGUGAAUUAAGUAAAGCCUUUUGUAUUCACAGAAUUUUAAGACAGUAUUACAUGAAAUACCACAAGCUUCAAUAACGGUCUAUUCCAACCAUUUUUUCCAGAUACCAGAAAGCAGAAAUUGAUUUCAAUACUAACAUUAAAAAUGUAUUACAAUACAGACCAGGGAUCAACUCACCAGCUCUCAUGAUCUUUAUGCAUGUAGCUCCAAACUGUACAAGCAAAAAGCUAAUUAGCCAGCAGUUGUCAAGCAUUCCAACCUAUCCGAACUUGUGAAAGCGGAUCCCAUUUCAUCCGUGCAUCUUCUAAGAGGAUUGCCAUUUUUAAGCCAUUCAGAAGCUCUUCGUCUGCAUUUUAUACUAUUUGUGCAUUUUUCACAAAAAAAGCUUACAGGCACCAUCUCCAAAUCAUCAACUCCAGCACAUCUAGUAUGAUGCCAGACUCCACAGGCAUCACAGGCCAUCAUCCUCUCACCAUCAUCAUCAUUGGCACCACAAGAGCAAUCAACAACCCAGAUAUUCAACCCUCUUUCCUUUCUGUAUUGCCCAAGGCUUUGGUCAUUGCUAUAGCAUCUUCCACUAAUCUGAGCCACCCCACGGGAGCCAAAUAGAGUCUUUAUGGGGGUCAGAUCACUAGCAUCUUCGAAAUGGACUAGUUUCUCUGCUUGAAACCUUUGGAAUACCAGGGCUGCGUAAUUAUCUGGGCUGUCGACUAUUUCAACGUAACACCAUAUAGCAAUGAUAAAUGGAUUUGUUGGCAACAUGCUCAAUGCAGGCUCGUCAUAGUGCCUGUAUUCUAUUGUCUUUGACUCUGGAUUGUAGAGUGCAACAACUACCAAUUCAUCACCAACAUGUUUCCCAAUGAUGGCCUUGAGGCAAUAGUCGAGCAGUUCAGGUGGCACAAUAGCAUGGCAUGACCUGUCUAAGGGCCCGCCAAGCCACCCAUCGAGGACCAACAACAGCUUGAAGAAAUUUUCUUACUGUGGCCUUAGCUAGGUCCACUUGCUCCCUUGGCCAAGCACAAAGGGCUCCAACUGCAGCCACUUUUGCAGAUUUGUCUCCAGUGGUAGGGGAAUGGAAAAAAAAAUGAGGUAGCCAAAGAGGUCCCUGAUGGUCAAUAGCUGACGGUUGGAGAGGCUACAGUACAAGGCUAUGGUGUUAUGCAACUGUGUCCGAGGGGA